GUCGAGAAUCUUUCACAAUGGGGGCAACCCUGAUGGAGCGACGCCGCGUGGAGGAUAAGGUCUUCGGAUUGUAAACUCCUGUCAUGCGUGAACAAGGUUGCUUGGUUAAUACCUGGGCAAAUUGAUGGUAACGCAAGAGGAAGAGACGGCUAACUCUGUGCCAGCAGCCGCGGUAAUACAGAGGUCUCAAGCGUUGUUCGGAAUCACUGGGCGUAAAGGGUGCGUAGAUGGCGUGGUAAGUCAGAUGUGAAAGCCCGGGGCUCAACCUCGGAACUGCAUCCGAUACUGCCAUGCUAGAGUACUGGAGAGGUGACUAGAAUUCUCGGUGUAGCAGUGAAAUGCGUAGAUAUCGAGAGGAAUACCAAAGGCGUAGGCAGGUCACUGGACAGUUACUGACACUGAGGCACGAAGGCCAGGGGAGCGAACGGGAUUAGAUACCCUUGUAGUCC
rnacentral:rRNA from 1 species